rnacentral:rRNA from 1 species
AGCGAACGCUGGCGGCAGGCCUAACACAUGCAAGUCGAACGAACUCUUCGGAGUUAGUGGCGGACGGGUGAGUAACACGUGGGAACGUGCCUUUUGGUUCGGAAUAACUCAGGGAAACUUGUGCUAAUACCGAAUGUGCCCUUCGGGGGAAAGAUUUAUCGCCAUUAGAGCGGCCCGCGUCUGAUUAGCUAGUUGGUGGGGUAACGGCUCACCAAGGCGACGAUCAGUAGCUGGUCUGAGAGGAUGACCAGCCACACUGGGACUGAGACACGGCCCAGACUCCUACGGGAGGCAGCAGUGGGGAAUCUUGCGCAAUGGGCGAAAGCCUGACGCAGCCAUGCCGCGUAAAUGAUGAAGGUCUUAGGAUUGUAAAAUUCUUUCACCGGGGACGAUAAUGACGGUACCCGGAGAAGAAGCCCCGGCUAACUUCGUG